GACGAACGCUGGCGGCGUGCCUAAUACAUGCAAGUCGAGCGAACUUUUAAAAGCUUGCUUUUAAAAGUUAGCGGCGGACGGGUGAGUAACACGUGGGCAACCUACCUGUAAGACUGGGAUAACUUCGGGAAACCGGAGCUAAUACCGGAUAAUUCUUUUCUACACAUGUAGAAAAGCUGAAAGACGGUUUCGGCUGUCACUUACAGAUGGGCCCGCGGCGCAUUAGCUAGUUGGUGAGGUAAUGGCUCACCAAGGCAACGAUGCGUAGCCGACCUGAGGGGGUGAUCGGCCACACUGGGACUGAGACACGGCCCAGACUCCUACGGGAGGCAGCAGUAGGGAAUCUUCCGCAAUGGACGAAAGUCUGACGGAGCAACGCCGCGUGAGUGAUGAAGGUUUUCGGAUCGUAAGACUCUGUUGUUAGGGAAGAACAAGUACGAUAGUAACUGAUCGUACCUUGACGGUACCUAACCAGAAAGCCACGGCUAACUACGUGCCAGCCGCCGCAGUAAGAC
rnacentral:rRNA from 1 species